rnacentral:rRNA from 1 species
GACGAACGCUGGCGGCGUGCCUAACACAUGCAAGUCGAACGCGGUUACCCCGCAAGGGGUAACUGAGUGGCGAAACGGGUGAGUAACACGUGGGUGACCUACCUUCGAAUGGGGGAUAACGUCCCGAAAGGGACGCUAAUACCGCAUAGCAUCCCGUCCUUGAACGGAUGGAGAUCAAAGCCGGGGAUCGCAAGACCUGGCGUUUGAAGAGGGGCCCGCGUCCGAUUAGCUAGUUGGUGAGGUAACGGCNCACCAAGGCGACGAUCGGUAACCGGCCUGAGAGGGCGGACGGUCACACUGGGGACUGAGACACGGCCCAGACUCCUACGGGAGGCAGCAGUGGGGAAUUGUCACAAUGGGCGCAAGCCUGAUGAC